AGUGUAGGCGGCCAUUUAAGUCGGAUGUGAAAUCCCCGGGCUCAACCUGGGAAUUGCAUUCGAAACUGAAUGGCUAGAGUUUGGUAGAGGUAAGUGGAAUUCCAGGUGUAGCGGUGAAAUGCGUAGAUAUCUGGAGGAACAUCAGUGGCGAAGGCGGCUUACUGGACCAAAACUGACGCUGAGGCUCGAAAGCGUGGGGAGCAAACAGGAUUAGAUACCCUGGUAGUCC
rnacentral:rRNA from 1 species